rnacentral:rRNA from 1 species
GACGAACGCUGGCGGCGUGCUUAACACAUGCAAGUCGAACGGAGAAUUUAUUUCGGUAAAUUCUUAGUGGCGAACGGGUGAGUAACGCGUGGGCAAUCUGCCCUUCAGAUGGGGACAACAUCCGGAAACGGGUGCGUAAUACCGCAUAGUUUCUGAUCGCAUGAUUGAGAAGGAAGACGGCCUUUGNGCUGUCGCUUAUGGAUGGACCCGCGGCGUAUUAGUUAGUUGGUGAGGUAACGGC